AGCGGCGGACGGGUGAGUAACGCGUGGGUAACCUGCCUUAUACAGGGGGAUAACAGUUAGAAAUGACUGCUAAUACCGCAUAAGCGCACAGUACCGCAUGGUACGGUGUGAAAAACUCCGGUGGUAUAAGAUGGACCCGCGUCUGAUUAGCCAGUUGGCGGGGUAACGGCCCACCAAAGCGACGAUCAGUAGCCGACCUGAGAGGGUGACCGGCCACAUUGGGACUGAGACACGGCCCAAACUCCUACGGAAGGCAGCAG
rnacentral:rRNA from 1 species